rnacentral:lncRNA from 1 species
GAUGGGUGACUAUCCAGCACGGUUCGGAGAGCACUUUUAGUCUGCGCUGGUGAAUGGAAGCCCCCCUAUCAAGCAAGAAAGAAGCGGCUCUUCCCACGGCGGAGUCCGCAUUGACUCUAUUUAUUAUUAUGGUAAAUCAGUGUAUCAAGAUGUCAAUCUUAGAUCUUAUUUCGGUUCGAUACGUCCACCUACUAGACUCACCUUUGGCUUUCGUCUCGGUAGGUGUAUUAUUAUACAUUUUCCCAAAAGAACAUUCAUUCAUUUCUUUCUUCCCCGUCGACCACGACGACAGAAACGACGCGAAAAAUCCAGACCCGGAAAGGGGAAGGGCCAGUGGUGGGCAUUUGGGAAAGUCGGGCCGAUCGGGUGUCUUCAUUCAAGCGACGGUACAGAAGAAGAACGAAACGAAGUGAGAGGCCGGGGGGCAGGGAAAAGAGUCGAGUCGAUCAGGCUCGACGACCGGGAGAAGCAAAACGAAAUCCGGAUUUGGCCGAAAAAGAAGCAACGCUAUGGAUACCAUGACCGAUCACCAUCGAUAAAGAAGAAUCUUUCUAAAUCACUUCGGGUCAGCGGGGCCUUCAAGCAUCCGAAAUACGCCGGGCUUGUAAAUGACAUAGCCCUCCUAAAUGACGACUCCUUCAGAAAAACGAAGUUAUUCAAGUUCUUUUUCUCAAAGAAGUCCCCCUCCGACAGCCCGACGAGUCAUCCACUUAAAAGGACCCUCCCUGCGGUGCGCCCUUCCUUGAAUUAUUCGGUCAUGCAAUACUUAUUGAAGACAAAGAACCAAAUGCAUUUCGACCCCGUCGUAGUUCUCAAUCAUUUCGUGGAACCGGGCGUGGUUGAACCAUCUACCAUGGGGGGAGCUAAUGCACAGGGAAGAAGCUUAGAUAAGAGAAUACGUUUCGCUUUUUUUGUCGAAAGCUCGACCAGCGAGAAAAAGUUUUUGGCCGAAGACAAAAAGUUGACCCACUUCAUUCGCUGGUCGGAUCAUCCUCGCUUCGCGGGAACAACAAAAACCACCAUCUCGCUCUUUCCUUUCUUCGGUGCUACCUUUUUCUUUCCAAGGGACGGGGUUGGGGUGUAUAAGAACCUUUUUUUUGAGUAUGCCCGGGAACAACUCCUACGAAAAUUCAGGAAAAAAUGUUGGAACCUCACGGCUAAGGAUAAGGUAAUGGAAUUGAUAGAGAAAUUCAUAGACCUAGGUGGGAUAGGAGAAUUGAUAAAGGGAAUAGAGAUGAUGAUAGAGAUCAUACUGAGAAACAGAAGAAUUCCGUACGGGUACAACUUUUAUUUGAACGAAGUGAAAAAAAUGCGAUCUUUGUUGUCUAAUAGAACAAAGACUAAUACCUUAAUUGAGUCGGUCAAGAUCAAAUCUGUUUAUCAAAGUGCUUCUCCGAUUGCUCAAGAUAUCUCUUUUCAACCGAGGAACAAAACAAGAUCAUUUCGCUCCAUUUUUAGUCAAAUAGUGAAGGAUAUUCGAUUAGUAAUGAAAAAAGGGGUGGAGGGGAUCCGUAUAUGUUGUUCAGGUCGAUCAGAAGGUGCAGAAAUAGCUAGAACUGAAUGCGGAAAGUAUGGAAAAACAUCUAGUAAUGUAUUUAACCAGAAAAUAGAUUAUGCUCCUGCGGAAGUAUCUACUCGUUACGGAAUCUCAGGUGUCAAAGUGUGGAUUUCAUAUAGUCAAAAAGAAAGGGGACGUGCUAUAUCCGAAACGUACGAAAUAUAGUAAAUAUCAUAAAGGCAGAUGUAGUAGGGGUUGCAAACCGGACGGUACACGACUUGGUUUUGGAAGAUAUGGCACUAAAAGUUUGAGAGCUGGUCGUCUUUCAUAUCGAGCCAUUGAAGCAGCGCGUCGAGCUAUAAUUGGGCAAUUCCAUCGUACUAUGAGCGGACAAUUCCGAAGAAAUGGUAAGAUAUGGGUAAGAGUUCUCGCAGAUCUCCCUAUUACCGGGGAACCUACAGAAGUCAGAAUGGGAAGAGGAAAAGGAAAUCCUACGGGUUGGAUUGCUCGUGUGUCCACAGGACAAAUCCCAUUUGAAAUGGAUGGUGUGAGUUUGUCAAAUGCUCGACAAGCCGCUACAUUAGCGGCGCAUAAACUAUGUUCGUCAACCAAGUUUGUUCAGUGGUCGUAACGUAAUUAGUUAGUGGGGAAAAAGCGGGCCGGGAUUCAAAAGAAUUAGGCGAAGUGUUUGUUCCUGAACGACGAAAGUGGAAAGGCACUAAGGGAGAGGGAUAUACUCCUUUCUUUUUGUAAUCGCCGAAAUUGUACGACGAACCUUCUUGUUCCAGGCGUACUACCCGGGUACGUUAAGGUUGAAUUCUCCAGGCCCGGUUUCUAAAGUGAGAGUAGUCAGAAUAAAUAAGAAAGAUAAGAGCUAAGAUUCAGGAAAGGAAGCUUUAUGGGAGAAAGGAUAAAAAGUAUGUAUGUAUCUGGUGGGGUGGGGCUAUGUAUGUAGAAAGGGAUCAGUCUCUAUCGAUCCGGAUACUAAAAGCGUACUGAAGACUUACUUAAGUUAAGCCCCGAAACCUAUUCAGCAGUUGAAAAAACCAAUUCAUUCCAAGGCAAACAAAGAGGUCUUUCCUUUUGUCGUUCAGUCCUUCUCUCCUUCCAUCUUUCCUUCCUUCCAUGUAGGCCUCUUGCUAUCCAUAUUGAAAAAAGAGAAGAAAGGGAAAUGAAGACUAGCCAAAAGACCUAAAAUAUAAAAAAUAGAAAAGAUCUAACUACUAUAUGGAAGUAGUAAAGCAUAGUUCUAAUCCUAGGAUUACAUAUCGCUCAUCGGCCCAGAACUCGCAACUACGAAGCUCUUUUCUCGAGCGAGGCAACAAUUCGUGGAUCCAUGGUUUGGAUGAAGCUAUGUACCCGGGUGGAGAUGAUUUGUCUCAAAGAUGUUCCGCUCAUCCAAGAAUCUAAUUGAUCGGUAAUUCGACCGACGACUCUAAGGGCAUUAGCGCGGGCCUUCCAUCUUACCGUGGCUAUCUAGUCAUUGACCCAUUUGCUUGCGAAGCAUAUCAUCGCUUCGUGCUGUUCCCUUAUGCAUUGAUGAUUACUGAUUAAAAUUGCUGCAAUAAGCCGCCUCUCCGCUACGAGGUUUGCGAGGACCUUUGUUACCGCGCCCGAGCUAGCACUAGUUCGUACCUCGUUCGACUAUUAGAUCGAAUAGGCGUCUUAUUAAGCGGUCUUUUUCUUUGACGUUACAUGAUCAGCCGCCGAUGAACGCAUGUGCAAAGUAAAGUUCAUCUGCCAUGCCCCCGGCCCCGGCAUAGGAAUGAAUGCCCACGGUGGUUGUGCAUUCUGGCGUAACGUAAUAGGAAGACUUGUGAUUUGGCGAGAGUUCUUGAUGAGGGCUGAUCCAUUAUAUAAUAGAACGAAGUGAACAAGUUGCCGGAAUUUCAACAGUGAGUUCCUGGAUGAUAUACGGAUUAGAACCGAGACGACCGAUGCCUCAAGCCCAUGGUUUGUCUUUUUUCCGACAUGCAAAAUGACUCGCCCUGUCUUUCUUAUCAAAUCCGAGAGCACCCUAUCCUCUCCUCGCUGAGCGACCCGGCAUUUUCGUUCAAAUAUAGGCCGGCUGGCUUGGUUGCUAUUAUAAAAUACCGGGUGGCUACAGGCUCAGGUUGCUAGUUGGCUUAGUAUUGCAUUGAAAGAUGGUAGCUGCUUCUUCACUCUUCAAGUAGCUGAAGCUUCUGUUCAAGUCAGGAAUAGGGGUUGAUAAAAGUAAAACUUUUCUUUCGAGAUUAGGUUAGUGUUCCGUUUUUUCGGAUGCUUUUCCGUUAAAGAGAACUGCAAGAAUGAGAGGGCAGAUAUGAUAGAGCUGCACUCUCAGNUUAUGGAGGACUGUAUCUGCCUCAUGAGCCGGAUGAUUGCCUCCGCGAAAUGCUGGAGGAUCUAAGGGGGACCCUAGUUGUCUGAACGGGGCUAUUGACCCGUAUCUGACAAAAAGGGUAGCCACUCAGUUGAAAGCUAUCUUAGAAUAGGAAGAAAAAGAUUGAAAAAACUGUUCAAACCUAUACCUAAUUUUCUUUGAUUAUUCAAUUUUGAUUAGCGUUGAUUGCUCUUUUCAUUAAAGCUUAUGCCGUAGAAGCGGACAUCCGGCUAUUGGCGUUUUAUCUGCAUCUUCCCGACCGGAAGGGCUUCGCUUUGUUUGGGAUGAACUCGCAAAGACUCGACCCGGGGACUUCCCUCGUAGAGUGGCCUCUUUUAUAAGACUCGACUUUAUCAGUGGAACUAAAAAAAAAAAAAAGAAUCUAACGCUCUAGUCUAAUUGAAGACUUUCAAUGCACAUGCUAUUUGAAAGCUCUUUCAAAUAGGAAAGGAAGUAGGAAACUAGCUUCUGAGAGAAAUGUAAGAAUUGCUGCUCUUAGCCGGCCUGGGGCCACGAGACCCUAACUCAAAUACCUCAGCCGGUGCUGCUUAGCCUGUAGCCGGUCUAGCUCUCGGAGUUCCGGAUAUAGGGCUUUUCCUUGCUCUUUUCCCUUGCAUCGAAGCUAAAAUCCAAGAAUGAGGAAUGCCAUGAAUCAGACUAAGGAACGAUGCCAUCAAAGGAAGUAGUAAAGUAAGAAUCAGAGGACUUUCAGGCUUCUGCCCUAAAUCUAGCCAAAAGCCUAUUCCGAAAGUACUAUCAAACGAAGCUCAGUUCAAGGCUGUUAUCCCACACCAUCCCGAGCCUCAAGUCAGCCCAUCCAUCUUCCCUCGCUCUGAAGCUAGAGCAAGCUCCGUUUCAAUCCAAGGAAGGUUCGGAAGGUAAUACCAGGAAACUAAGAACAAAUCCUCGCUUCGUAGCCAGCCGGUCUAGCUUUUGAAUAUGAGUGAAAAGUAGCUUCUGCUUCGCUAUUAAAUCCCUCACUUUCUAAGAAGAUCAAGGGCAAGCCCUCCUACGAUUACGAUGACUGUAACGAAGUCUCGAAAGAUAGAGAACCUCUUUCUUUACACGAGAGGAGGAACCAUACGACAAUGGUUCUAGACCCGUAACCCCAUAACCUGUAGAUGGCAGAAUACGAGAAUAGGCUUUGUUAGGGGAUAAUAGAAAGACAUCCAAGCCAAGGAAAACCAUCUAUAAAAGCGUUAUCAAUUAGCGCUUUAGACCUCCCAAGGAAGAAAGAACAAAAGAACUAGAACUUGAAUCUCUGGGAGGGGCGAAGCAAGUCGUAAUAGAUGGAAGAGAAGUUCCAAGAGAUGGACUUGCUGGGGCAGUUACUAGCCGUAUAGUUGCAGUUCCCGCUUAAACAACUCCUUAUUAUGCUUUUGGAAGAAAUUCCCCAGUCAACCUCCCUUAGUCUCAUCCUUUACACCCGGUCCAACCUUGCCCGCUCCUCUUGGCAUCUAGGGUUAUGUUAUGGCUACUGCCUACUAUCUCUCUAAUAGCGAGGGUGCUUUCAUCCGUGAUGGAGUCAUAUGACAUUCAAAGCCUUCUCUUUGAGAUAGGUAACAGACUCAGCUGCUAGCCUUUCGAAAUCUCUUUGUCGAGAUCACGAAUCAGCAGCUAUAGAAGGAGUUGUUCCAGAACCCGCGGGCAGAAUACCUUUUGUUGUAAGAAGGGCUACUGGUAUGACAUCAAUCACUCUUAGAGUCUUAGCUGGGAACAUUCUAUUCCGAAAGUCAGGUCAAUGCCACAGCUUCUUCUCAAGCAUCAACAUCAAAGUGCUCCAAUGCCCUUACUUGAAUCUAAUGGAGGUCGAUGUCCAGGGAAUUGAUAGAGUCAGACCUGAUAAUGUAGUGACUAAGAAGGAAGGUAAAGGAAAGUCAGUCAAAAGCUCGAGUAAGAACGAGAGGAAGAAGAAGCAGUCGAGCUCAAUUUAUUCUUUAGAGGGAAGUAAGAACGAGAGGAAGAAGAAGCAGUCGAGCUCAAUUUAUUCUUAUUUUUCAUUCUCUUUUUUUCUUUGGCCCUUAUUUCUUCUUAUCUCUCUUUUCCGACUAACGCAAACAUGCUACCGUUAACCAUGCUACCACAGAGAAAGUAAAGCUGGCUCUUCCAGCUCUCGUAUCCGAGGAAAGCUAACUUCAUUCCUAAGCGUCUUCUUUUCUUGGUGUGAUCGUAUCAGCGUACGAAUCCGGAGUGAUGGCAUAGAAGGAGCUGCAAUUGAAUCAAAGAAGAAGUUGUUGUGCUAGAAUCCACUGUUACAGAAUAGGCAGCUAUAGAAUCAGCUCGGUCCUUUCUUCCGUUAUGCCUUUAAUAGCUAUCCGAUGAUCCUGUAACUACCGCAGCCGAAGGGCUUUCCCUCUUUCGCCUAUAUCGAAUUCUGCUACUGCUUCUUCGACUCAAAGAACUGACAUCUAUCCUUUAUCUUUCUCCUAUGAUUCCCAAUAUCCGUGGGAUUUCCUCUAAAGCCUUUCUCUUUAGUGACUCAAACAAAGAACCUUAGCGGAUGGAUGAAAGAAGUAACUGAAAGCAAGGAUAAUAUCUUCUUUAUCCCAUCUAGGUAUAGGGAUAGAUUGAAUAUUCCAGCGGUUGGUUGAAAAGAUAUACAAUAAUAAGAAGAGACUGAUUGAUAUAGCAUCUCACUAACUUAAUCUCAUGACUUUAGAAUAUCACUUUGUGAAAGUGCUCUCGAUAUGCCACCAAGAAGCCAUUAGUGCAAGCUGGUAUUUAGCUCGCUCCUUAGAUAAGCUAUAGCUCCCUCUUUCUCGGUCAACCAAAAACAAUGUAAAAUGUAUUAAAUACCUAUUCUUUGUUCUAAUCAGCAAGCGGUAUACGACAGCUUCGAUAGCAUCCUCUCCUCUUUCUGCUCCAAAUCCCUAGUUUAGAAUGCAACGAAUGAAGCGAAGAAAGGUGAAAGAGCUACAGAAGCAGGCAACAGAAGGAAGAGCUACAGAAGCAAGACUAAGAACUAGCUCGGCUUAAGGAUUAGCUAGCUAGGAGUCUUUCUGUAUAUUCGAGACUUUAUCCCUCGGUUCUAAGUGCAAGGCUUCCUUAGCUGCGGUAACCCUGCUAUGCAGGAAUUCUUACAGUUAUCUCAAAUCUAAGCUUGGAACGACGAACCGGGAACAAGCUUCCUUCGUUUUCGCUUACCUGCUUAACCGUUAGUUGUUAAGGAUUAGCAGCACCGUCUACUAGCUAGAGCUGUGAAACCUGAGAGAGCCGGGUGGGAACUCAAGACUAAGGCAGUAAGAAAGAGCUAGGAUUAGUAGUUUGAGUUGGUUAGGCGGGAUGGGAUCGAAGAGACUGUACCGAGAACCGGCUAACUGCCAUGAAAGCAGAGAGAGCUACUGAGCAACGGAGGACAGAGCGAGAAAGAUCUUGAACUCUUAAGCUUCAUCCCUGUAUGCAUAUUCCUAUACCAAAAGCAAGAUAAGCGAUGAAUAUUUACUGGAUAUAAGAUAAGGAAAGUAGCUUGGACCGAGAGCAAAGAGAACUCCUCUAGUCGAAAAGAAAGAAUCACUCACCUCACGAGGCUGGGUGGAAUAUAAGAGAAAUUUCGAAUCAAAUACGAACGUAUUCUUAAAAGAAAAUUCCCAGGCAUUGGUUACAGACAGGACAAUCGAAGCUGAAAGGACAGACAUAGAUUGACCUACUACUAAGAACCGGACAGUCGAGAGACCGGAGAGAUAUUGGUUUAAUCACAGACCAGACAGACAAGCAUUUGUCAAAGCCCAGAAAGCCACCAACCAUCGAAGCGUUAACCGUAAAGCCUGAUGGGGAAGAAUCCCUCUUCCGCAUAAACACAGAAAGGAAAGUCAACAGUCCCAGAGCCUAUUCUUUCAAAGAGCGCAUUCCCCGCACCCUAUUAUCUAGCGGCUCUUUCUGUGCGUGGUUCUCUUUUAUACUCUUGAUCUGGGAAGCAGGCACUCUUCUGUAAACCUUCGAGAGGGUUCGUAGCCUUGCUAACGGUUUUCAACCUCACUCAGGGCGAAUCUAAAAAAGUUUUUUUUAAGUGUUCAUAAAUCGUCUGUGAACAAAUUCAAGAGAAGACAGAUCCAUAGGCAGCAAAAGAAGACUUUCGCUAAACAAGAGAGAGCUUCACAAGAGAAAUAAGUCGAUUCCUUAUUUUCUUCUAUUAUAGGUAGCGCGCACAGGAAAGAGAGAAGAACGACAACAAGAUAUCAACAGCCCCAAGGAAGUCAAGCUCAGAAGGCAAGAAUUUUUCUAUACUCCUCACUGGGAUAGAAGGAAUUUACCUGACAUAAGCGAAAGAAGGAGUUGACUGGUAUUACCGGAUCACAGUCCCUAGCUAUCUUCCAAACAGAUCUCCUUUUUGCAUUGCCUUUUCGAUAGCACAAGUAAAGGUCUGGUGCGCAUAACUGCUGCCAUCUACACUUGGAGAAAGGGACCGGAAAGAGCCUAUUCGAGAACAGUAAGAGCAGACAAUGAAUGUGCUUGCGUCCUCUUCUUUUACUAUUAUACCUGCCCAUGGAACUGUGCACAACCGAUUUGUAACAAGCAAGAAGAGCGGAUACGUCGUUCUUUCUCUUUCAAAGAGCGCUCCCGAUGGCUAAUGUAUUGACCUCUUAAAGCAUUUCAACAGGCCUGUACAGAUAAAUGUAUCUUUAACCACUUUAUAGCCUUGGCAGAUUUGCUUUCUUUCCCGCUUUCGACUGGGUUCAAAAGGACGAUGGAAGCGAAAAGAUCACACCGAAAAAGCCGGAAUCGGUGUAUUGCCUGGGGAUGAUAGCCUUGUUGAUUGCAAGUGCUAUCUUAGAUCCAUUUUGAAAGGUCGGUUUAGUAAGAAAUUUUUUCAAGAGAAGGAAGUUUUAAGCAAGGAGACUCAUCGAAGAAAGGGUUGUGACUAUAUGGAUGUAUCGAAAGACGGAUGAAAUAGAUUCUCAUAGCCUAUCCCUUGUCUUGUCUCCUGCCUACGUUCCAACCAGUAGUAAGCAGCUAACCUUCCUGCCCGUCCGGGGUUAUCUCUGCUCGGUUCCGCAAUCAAUCCCAGAUCCAUCCAUUUGAGGGGGGUCAAAUUCUGCGCUCUUAUAAUUGCUUAGAUAGAAGGGUUCAAAAAUCGUAUACUUUUUCGAUGCCCUCUAUCGGCGAUAGUUCGACGGACUACUUUUGCGAUGUCUGUCACAUGAAGAAGCUCAGCAAGCCUUGCAAGAAGUACAUGCUUUACUAAUGCAUAGUAAUAGUGGUUUGCUGGGUUGGUUUUGCUCUCUACCUUCUCACGGGGAUGGAAACAAGAGAGGUCAACUGGAGUGGAAGCCAAACGAAACGACGGGGCCGAAAAUCUGUGAUCGACCCGAAGAACCCUUACCUUGAUGCCUACAGAAAAAUUGAUUUGACAGUGAUGGCAAGAAUCCGAGAAAGACUGUUUUUUCUUUUUCUUAUUCUUGUGUUGUUUCUGAAUGGCAUCAUAGCUACACGAGGGAAAGCGAUGCUGCCUACUCUGCUCUGCCGCAAAAGGGGGCCGCUUUCUUCCCCCCAAAAAUGCCAGUUCCACCAUCAGGGCCCAGCAAGCACCAUAAUUCUGUUCCGAGGCUGCGUUUCAUUCCAGUCUUUUCUCAAUUGAGAAGUCAACCAACAGGUCAAUCCUUCCCUUAUAUCAUAUCCAUUUUACACAGUCUUUGUUGAAAUAGUGUAAAUAGUGCGAGACUUUCAACUAAUGAAAUCUAAACCAGCUAGUUCAGUCAGAUACCGGCUAAGCAACCUCUAAAGCAGCUAUCGGAGCAGUAGCAGCUUGAAAUUCGCAUACCAAAGACGAUGGAAUUCCCCACUUUCUAAUGCAAUACGGCAAAGCUUAGGGAGUCAGCUAGUCCAACAUCAGUCAUUCUAAUGGAAUAUCUGGAAUAUCGAACUAGGAAUUGAAAGACUUUCUUUCUUUAUAUACGAGUCAAUUACAUACCGGAAAUCUCGAACAGUAAAUGCUAUACCGGAAAUGCGAUAUCUAAAGUCAAUCUCAGUGAAUUCCGUACAAAGCAGUCCAACCAAAACCUAACAGUAUAUCAGAUCUAUCCUAUAAAGGUAGUCCAACACAAGCAAUCGAUACUACGCCUUCGACCUUUGAGAAGUUACUUUGUGAAAUAGGAUUUCUCCCUUGUACAAUUUCUUCAUUUUAGAUAGCUAGAGCUAAGCCU